rnacentral:lncRNA from 1 species
GUCCAAAAAAAUGAAAAUUAGGUAAAGGUCAAAGGUCAAGGUCAUAUUCUAAAUUUUGAUUUUGGCAUAUUUUCACUAAUUUUCAUUAACCUUAUAAGAUACCGACAAAUUAUUUUUACUAAAUUGUUAGUUGCGACAUGUCGUAACUUAUAUAUUUUGGUUAAAAGGGUGUGUAGACAUAAAAUGGGAGUUUUUGCCCCUCCUAUAUUAAGAAUUAAACGUAAAGUGAUAUAACUCAUUAACUAUACAUAUUACAGACCUAGGGUCUUUUUAUUUGGGGUCCCUGGUUUAUGACCUUGAAAUAUAGGUCAAGGUCAUCAGUAAAUUUGACGUUCUAGAUUUUGACCUUUGCUCAAAAUUCAUAUUUAUACAUCAUUAAGCCAUAGGAACUGACAUUUUCAACUGAAUUUUAAUAUUUUCAUAUCAAAAUAGAUCCUUAUUGGUGGAAAGACCUUCAAUUGUUCUCUGAACAAUUGGUUUUUAAUUUAUUU